AGAAUCAACGCUGGCGGCGUGCCUAACACAUGCAAGUCGCACGAGAAAGUGGAGCAAUCCCUGAGUAAAGUGGCGCACGGGUGAGUAACACGUGAAUAAUCUACCUCCGAGUGGGGAAUAAACUGAGAGAAAUCUUAGCUAAUACCGCAUAACACUUACGAGUCAAAGCAGCAAUGCGCUUGGAGAGGAGUUCGCGGCCGAUUAGUUAGUUGGCGGGGUAAUGGCCCACCAAGACGAUGAUCGGUA
rnacentral:rRNA from 1 species